rnacentral:lncRNA from 1 species
AUCUGUCUACUCCCAAGAAACUAAAGGACAGGCACUGGACUGCUGCUGCAGAAACACCCACAAUUCCACAGGCUUGCUUGCGUUUUAAUGGCCACCAACAGUGGAGCUGGCUUCCAGGCUGUGAAUAGAUUCAUGGAAGAUGAACAAAAACAAAUGAACAAAUCAACAACGACAACAACAGCAACAUCUGUGCAUACUAUAGAAGCAGAUUUGUAAUUAUGUUGUACAUUGGCUUAACACUGAGAAAGAGACUGAAUAAUUAUUGCACUUCUGGCAAGUCUAUAUAUACUGUCUCCUGACGAAGGACCCUCCAGCAACUUCGGGCUGAAAUGAAGCAGAUUCACUCAAUCCCCACAAACUCUCAGAAAUGUGCAUCUGGGAAAA